CAGGCAAACUUUGCAACAGUUGCUGCCAAGUCACAGAUGAAUGCAGAAGUAGCUGGCAGAACCAGAUAUCCAGAGAGAACCUGUGAGUGUCAAAGCUGCACAUCCUCUGAAAAUUGCUCUAAUUGUUGUCCUUCUCUAAAGGAUCCUGACUGUGGGAAGCAUAGUUUGUAAGCUGACUGUGAGUUCUCCAUGUGCACGACAACAGCUGAUGAUGAGUUUUCUGCUCUGUAGCCCCACUAUGGCCCCCAAGUAACCUAUUUUCAAACACUGCUAAAUUAAAUUUUUUCUCCUUUUACUGUC